UAUAAAUGGGGGGUCUGCAGUGUGUUUUAGUGCAGACGUGCACACUAACUCCUAGAAAGUCCAUGAUAAUAGAAGUUAGUGCAACUCAAUUGAAGCUUCUUCACCCUGACGGACUGUGACUGAACAGAAUUCCCACCUACAUUUUAUAAGAAAACUUCAUUCAGUCAUCCAGUCCAGCCUGAAGAGGAGUCAAGUGCAAUCGGAUCAACUCGUCAACUAGCUGACCAGAACCAAGUACAAUGAGGACUGGAGUAGGCUGGGGCGUUACCCAUGGAUCUUCCCCCUGGCAUGACUGCAUUGAAGAUCGAAAUAAGUCCCAUGGUGGAAACCAUAGAGGAACUGCCGGAACUGCCGAAGCUGAAGCUGACAACCCCCUCCACUCUACAUCCGAGCCCCUGAGAAAGUUCCAGCCAGUCCAGCCUGUAGUUCCCACGGACAGGCCUCUCCUGGAUGAAGACUUGCUGGCAUGAAAGCUUCUUCCGGCCUGUCAUACAAAAUAAAGCCUUCCAUCACGUUCUACAGAA